rnacentral:rRNA from 1 species
UACGUAGGGGGCGAGCGUUGUCCGAAGUUACUGGGCGUAAAGCGCGCGUAGGCGGUCAUUUAAGUCUGAGGUGAAAGGUUCAGCGCUCAACGUGAACAGUGCCUUGGAUACUGGGUGACUUGAGUUCGGGAGGGGGCAGUGGAAUUCCAGGUGUAGCGGUGAAAUGCGUAGAUAUCUGGAGGAACACCGAUGGCGAAGGCAGCUGCCUGGCCCAGAACUGACGCUGAGAAGCGAAAGCAUGGGGAGCGAACAGG